rnacentral:rRNA from 1 species
AUUGAACGCUGGCGGCAUGCUUUACACAUGCAAGCCGAACGGUAACAGGCCGCAAGGUGCUGACGAGUGGCGAACGGGUGAGUAAUGCAUCGGAACGUGCCCAGUCGUGGGGGAUAACGCAGCGAAAGCUGUGCUAAUACCGCAUACGAUCUAUGGAUGAAAGCAGGGGACCGUAAGGCCUCGCGCGAUUGGAGCGGCCGAUGUCAGAUUAGGUAGUUGGUGGGGUAAAGGCCUACCAAGCCGACGAUCUGUAGCUGGUCUGAGAGGACGACCAGCCACACUGGGACUGAGACACGGCCCAGACUCCUACGGGAGGCAGCAGUGGGGAAUUUUGGACAAUGGGCGCAAGCCUGAUCCAGCAAUGCCGCGUGCAGGAAGAAGGCCUUCGGGUUGUAAACUGCUUUUGUACGGAACGAAACGGUCUGGGUUAAUACCCUGGGCUAAUGACGGUACCGUAAGAAUAAGCACCGGCUAACUACGUGCCAGCCGCCGCCGUAA